AUAUUUCUGUCGGAAGCAAGGAAGCAACAUUUUUGGUUUCUGUGUAACUACCAGGCAUCAUUGCAGCUGGCGAUUGUGAUACAGGCCAAGAGGGAACUGAUAUUUUGUAAUUUUGUAAAACACGGGGUUUGGACUCUGAAACUUGUGUGGGUGCUUGGAGGCUACCAGCCCAUUUAAAUGCCUGUUCCUGCUGUAUGUGAUAAACAAUUAAUCCCAAUUCACCUUUCAUUUUAGUUGCAGGGAAAGCAAUUGAAGGUGUUCCCGCAUCGGAUUUUUGAGAAGCAGAUUCUGUCAUCAUAGAAGUUUGAACCUUUUCUUUCUUCAAUGAAGAGAAUGAUCCAUUCCGGUUUGGUUUCUGCGGAGAGAGAGAGAGAGUCUGUGUAUGGUUGUUGGAG